rnacentral:lncRNA from 1 species
GGAGCAAUUAGGGUUAAAUGCCUUGCUCAAGAGCAGAUCAACAGAUUAUUCACUUAGUCGGCUCGGGGAUUCGAAUCAGCAACCUUUAGGUUAUUGGCCCAACACUCUUAACCAAGUAUGGGUAGCUGCAGCCCAAUAUGGUGACCGAAAAUGGGCGACUGGGUGUGUCGAAAGCGGUUAGUGUAUGGAACGCGAAUCAGCUAAUUGGGCAGAUUGUUGCCACUCAAGACCGUUUUGCGUGGCUGUUUAGGCUGCACAACGAGUCGAUAAGCCGACCGGUGUCGUGCCUGCCGAAAUGAAGUGCCUCCUGCCUACUAGGUAUCAUGGUAGUGUCGCCGGCGUGGCAAUUUUUUUCCUGACACGUGAUUUUAUUUCAGCUUCAAUCUCCUCUUGGCCAGUGCCCCUGGGCCUCCUUCAUCAUCUGAACAUGGCUCCUGAUACACUGCUCCAACUCCCUGUCUCUGGCCACCCUGAGGUCACAAUGGUCAAGGGUCAAAUGAACUACCAAUCCACAAACUAAAGAUUACCUUAGUUAUAUUUUUUGGUCUUGUACUAGAAUAAUAACACUCUGGAAUUAUGUUUUUGACUUUGUAAAUAAUGUAUUUAAAUGCUGUUUCCACUACCUCUAUAAAGAAUUGCUGUGCUUUAAACCUAUGCUUGAAAAAUAAUACAAAUCUAAGUAUAGAAAUGUGUAUAUACAGCUAUGGGUUGCUUUGAGUGACAGGGCAUCACUAUACCCUGGUUCUGUUGAGUGACAGGGCAUCUCUAUACCCUGGUUCUGUUGAGUGACAGGGCAUCACUAUACCCUGGUUCUGGUACGUUGUGAUUUGUACUGAAGUAGGGGGAGUGGGACCUAAUGUUCAUCAUGAUGUUACAUUUGCUAAUGUACUAGUCUGCUGCUGUGUUUGUAUGUUUCUGACUGUGUGUGUGCUAGCGUUUUGUGGAAUGGUGUGUUUACCUGCUGUGGGGGGGGCCUCCCUGGCGACAUCUGACUGCAGGAUGACUGACAGUGCUCCAUCGCUAGCUAGGCCUGUCGCUAUCUCCAACCUGGACAGCUUCAGCUUAGUGUCUGCACAGCCUGCACAGCCAUCUUUUUCAACGUCUGCUCACCCAGAAUGGAAACAAGGACUCAAGCUGGCGUUAUGUUGACCUCUUCUGGUUGAGAAGUGCACUUCAGCCAGUCUUCUCUCCUCUGACCUCUUCCAGUACUGCAUGUCAAACGGAGGGACCUCUGGAAAUAUAUUUCCACUGGUAAUCUCUUUCUUUCUGACAAAUAAAUGAAUCGAAAGAAAAUGUUUUAUUUUUAUUGCUCUCAGAAGGACCGUGUCCCUGCAGAGCCUGGGCGAAUUUAUCGCUAGGCCUUCUCCUCAAAGACUGUCAUAAAAAUACUCGUACACUGUCCAUGCUGUAUUUUCCAUCUCAAUAGCCUAUUAGUCUAGAAUGGCUCCCUCUCAUUGUCUCCUUUCCUAAACUGCAUUGAAUUCCACAGAGAAGGCAUCCAACAUAUUGCUUUCACCUAUCAUUGCUUUCCUCGUAACCCAUACUGACCACUGCACUGAGCAUAGUGUUCAAUCUGGUUAACCAGUUCAGGAGAGGACACUGAGUCCUCCCCCUAGAUCUGCAGUUACCAG